rnacentral:rRNA from 1 species
UGGGGAAUCUUGCACAAUGGGGGAAACCCUGAUGCAGCGACGCCGCGUGAACGAUGAAGCCCUUCGGGGUGUAAAGUUCUUUCGACGGGGACGAUAAUGACGGUACCCGGAGAAGAAGCUGCGGCUAACUACGUGCCAGCAGCCGCGGUAAUACGUAGGCAGCGAGCGUUGUUCGGACUUACUGGGCGGAAAGAGUGCGUAGGUGGUUAGCUAAGUUGGGUGUGAAAUCUCCCGGCUCAACUGGGAGGUUGCGCCGAAAACUGGUUGACUAGAGUGUGGGAAAGGGAAGUGGAAUUCCUGGUGUAGCGGUGAAAUGCGUAGAUAUCAGGAGGAACACCUGCGGUGUAGACGGCUUCCUGGACCAUGACUGACACUGAGGCACGAAAGCGUGGGUAGCAAACA